rnacentral:rRNA from 1 species
GAUUAAGUUAUUAAGGGCGCACGGUGGAUGCCUUGGCACUAGAAGCCGAUGAAGGACGUUACUAACGACGAUAUGCUUUGGGGAGCUGUAAGUAAGCUUUGAUCCAGAGAUUUCCGAAUGGGGAAACCUAGCAUGAGUUAUGUCAUGUUAUCGAUAUGUGAAUACAUAGCAUAUCAGAAGGCACACCCGGAGAACUGAAACAUCUUAGUACCCGGAGGAAGAGAAAGAAAAUUCGAUUCCCUUAGUAGCGGCGAGCGAAACGGGAAGAGCCCAAACCAACAAGCUUGCUUGUUGGGGUUGUAGGACACUCUAUACGGAGUUACAAAGGACGACAUUAGACGAAUCAUCUGGAAAGAUGAAUCAAAGAAGGUAAUAAUCCUGUAGUCGAAAAUGUUGUCUCUCUUGAGUGGAUCCUGAGUACGACGGAGCACGUGAAAUUCCGUCGGAAUCUGGGAGGACCAUCUCCUAAGGCUAAAUACUCUCUAGUGACCGAUAGUGAACCAGUACCGUGAGGGAAAGGUGAAAAGCACCCCGGAAGGGGAGUGAAAUAGAACCUGAAACCGUGUGCUUACAAGUAGUCAGAGCCCGUUAAUGGGUGAUGGCGUGCCUUUUGUAGAAUGAACCGGCGAGUUACGAUUUGAUGCAAGGUUAAGCAGUAA